rnacentral:lncRNA from 1 species
GACGCAACCGCCACUGUACUCUACCAGUGGCGGUGAACAGGAACCGUCAUAGUUCUUUUCCGGUUUUUAAUUUUUUUUUAUAUUAGAACAUUCCUGUAACAGCAAUAUAUCACAGCACAGCAAUAGAUAACAUCAUGAUAGAUAACAGCAAUAUAUAUGAGAAAAUCACACAUCCAUGAUAGAUAACAGCAUCUGUUCACAAAACUUAUUACAAAAACACAAAUAUUCAAUAUUUAACAUUGUACAUCAAAGUUUCAAUACAUUGGCACAACCCCGCCUUCAUAAAAAUCACCGUUUUCCUUCAGGACCUCUUUGUUGAGAAUGGUGUCUAUCUCCCUCUGAAUAUCGAACACAAGAACUGUUAGAAUAAUCUUGUUAUAUGAGUCCGUUUAGGACUGGUCCGUCCUGAGUUCGAGUAGUAGCACUAGUACGAGUCUAAUUAGCUUUGCACAUUAAGUCCUAGUCCUAUUAGGAUUAGGUGAUUUUGGGUGUACAUAUAGAUGCACCAGGUCAGCUUUUGUAACAUGGGAUUUGAGAUAUUGAGAAGAAAUAAAAAG